UAAAAAAAAAAAUGGGGGGGGCCGGGGGGGGUUUUUUCCCUUGGGUGGGGGGGGGGGGGGGGGAAAACCGGGGGGAACCCCCCCUUAAAGCGGGGAAAAUUCCGGGAAACCGGGGUUAAUCCCGGAUGUUUGAUGGACCCCCAGGUUCAAUCAUAAAAGGGGCUUUUAGCUACCCUUCCCGAUGGACCCGGGGGCCUUAGCUAGUUGGUGAGGUAACGGUUCACCAAGGCGACGAUGCGUAGCCGACCUGAGAGGGUGAUCGGCCACACUGGGACUGAGACACGGCCCAGACUCCUACGGGAGGCAGCAGUAGGGAAUCUUCCGCAAUGGACGAAAGUCUGACGGAGCAACGCCGCGUGAGUGAUGAAGGUUUUCGGAUCGUAAAACUCUGUUGUUAGGGAAGAACAAGUACCGUUCGAAUAGGGCGGUACCUUGACGGUACCUAACCAGAAAGCCACGGCUAACUACGUGCCAGCAGCCGCGGUAAUACGUAGGUGGCAAGCGUUGUCCGGAAUUAUUGGGCGUAAAGCGCGCGCAGGCGGUUUCUUAAGUCUGAUGUGAAAGCCCCCGGCUCAACCGGGGAGGGUCAUUGGAAACUGGGGAACUUGAGUGCAGAAGAGGAGAGUGGAAUUCCACGUGUAGCGGUGAAAUGCGUAGAGAUAUGCAGGAGGUCCAAUGGCAAAGGCGACUCUCGGGUCUGUAACAGACGCUGAGGCGCGAAAGCGGGGGGAGCGACCAGGCUUGGGUACAACGGUAGUCCACGCCGUAAACGAUGAGUGCUAAGUGUUGCGGCAUUGCCGUCCUCGAUAGCUGCGGUUCCGCUUUAUGCACUCCGCCUGGGGAGUAUUGUAGCAAGACUGAAACUCAAACGAUUUGAUGUUGGCUUGCACCCGCGGUGGUGGUUGUUCUUUUAUUCGAAGCAACGCGAAGAACCUUACCAGGUCUUGGCGUCCUCUGACAGCACGGGGGGGGGGGCUUCCCCCUCGGGGGAAGGAUGACAGGUGGUGCAUGGUUGUCGUCAGCUCGUGUCGUGGGAUUUUGGAGUCAUCCCCCCAACGAGCGCCUCCCCCGGUCUUAGUUACCGGCAUCUCCUUUGGCACCCUACGGUUUAUCCCGAAAAAAAAUAAGGGGAAGGCGGGUAUGACCCCAAACUUUCAAACCCGGGUUGGCCUGUGCUGUCUAUGUUCCCAAAGACGCAAAACAAAGAUUUAAAGAGCCGCGAGGCUAAGCCAAUAACACAAAUCCUUAAGGGGAUCGCAGUCUGCAACUCGACUGCGUGAAGCUGGA
rnacentral:rRNA from 1 species